AGGAUGAACGCUGGCGGCGUGCCUAACACAUGCAAGUCGAACGUCCUGUCUCGCAAGAGGCAGGGAGUGGCGGACGGGUGAGUACCACGUGGGUGAUCUACCGUGAGGUGAGGAAUACCGGCGAGAAAUCGCCGACAAGACCGCAUAGCCUCGGUGCAAGCCGAGGAAAGCUUUCUCGAGAGAGGGAGCGCCACACGAGGAGCCUGCGCCCGAUUAGCUAGCUGGUGGAGUAACGGUUCACCAGGGCGACGAUCGGUAGCUGGUCUGAGAGGACGAUCAGCCACACUGGGAUUGAGAACGGCCCAGACUCCUACGGGGGGCAGCAGUGAGGAAUUUUCGUCAAUGGGGCAACCCUGAACGAGCAACGCCGCGUGCAGGAAGAAGGUUUUCGGAUCGUAAACUGACUUUUCGUCGGGGAAGAGAACGGACGGUACCCGAGGAAUCAGCCCCGGCUAACUACGUGCCAGCAGCCGCGGUAA
rnacentral:rRNA from 1 species